AUUGAACGCUGGCGGCAUGCCUUACACAUGCAAGUCGAACGGCAGCACGGGAGCAAUCCUGGUGGCGAGUGGCGAACGGGUGAGUAAUAUAUCGGAACGUGCCCAGUCGUGGGGGAUAACGUAGCGAAAGCUACGCUAAUACCGCAUACGAUCUAUGGAUGAAANCGGGGGUCGCAAGACCUCGCGCGAUUGGAGCGGCCGAUAUCAGAUUAGGUAGUUGGUGAGGUAAAGGCUCACCAAGCCGACGAUCUGUAGCUGGUCUGAGAGGACGACCAGCCACACUGGGACUGAGACACGGCCCAGACUCCUACGGGAGGCAGCAGUGGGGAAUUUUGGACAAUGGGCGCAAGCCUGAUCCAGCAAUGCCGCGUGCAGGAUGAAGGCCUUCGGGUUGUAAACUGCUUUGUACGGAACGAAACGGUGAGCUCUAAUACAGUUUGCUAAUGACGGUACCGUAAGAAUAAGCACCGGCUAACUACGUG
rnacentral:rRNA from 1 species